GACGAACCGAGCAAACGUUAUUCGGAAUCACUGGGCUUAAAGGGCGCGUAGGCGGAGAGUCAAGUCCGUGGUGAAAUCCCCCAGCUCAACUGGGGAACUGCCGCGGAUACUGGCCCUCUCGAGGGGUGUAGGGGCAUGUGGAACUCAGGGUGGAGCGGUGAAAUGCGUAGAGAUCCUGAGGAACGCCGGUGGCGAAAGCGACGUGCUGGACACCUUCUGACGCUGAGGCGCGAAAGCCAGGGGAGCAAACGGG
rnacentral:rRNA from 1 species